CAUAGAAGAUACGGCGUAUGUCCUCAGAAGUAUAAAUCAGUAUUAGGUGUCAUUGUGUCUGAUUUGUGAAGAUCAACAGGGUAAUUGUUUCAUUAAAAAGGUGUAAGUAAGGAAGUGUCCUUUCUGAAAAACAGCAUUCUGGGUAUGAAGAUGCUGAUGAGCUUCUUUCAGCACAAUCUGGAGUAGCAGUCACACCUGACUACUAUAAUGAUGUGACCCCCACUGAAGGUCCAAAAGUAGAGCAACAAAC